GACGAACGCUGGCGGCGUGCCUAAUACAUGCAAGUAGAACGCAGUUGCGAACGGGUGAGUAACGCGUAGGUAACUGCCUCAUAGCGGGGGAUAACUAUUGGAAACGAUAGCUAAUACCGCAUACUGUGAGAUGGACCUGCGUUGUAUUAGCUAGUUGGUGAGGUAAAGGCUCACCAAGGCGACGAUACAUAGCCGACCUGAGAGGGUGAGCCACCUCCCUUGGACUGAGACACGGCCCAGACGCCGACCUUGUACAUCAUUAACUAAUCUUCGGGAAGUCACGGAAGUCUGACCUAGCAACGCCGCGUGAGUGAAGAAGUUUUUCGGAUCAUUAAUCUCUGUUGUUAUAGAAGCGGUAACUAACCAGAAAGGGACGGCUAACUACGUGCCAGCAGCCGCGGUAAUUC
rnacentral:rRNA from 1 species